ACGCACGCUGGCGGCGUGCUUAACACCUGCAAGUCGAACGGAAAGGCCCUGCUUUUGUGGGGUGCUCGAGUGGCGAACGGGUGAGUAACACGUGAGUAACCUGCCCUUGACUUUGGGAUAACUUCAGGAAACUGGGGCUAAUACCGGAUAGGAGCUCCUGCUGCAUGGUGGGGGUUGGAAAGUUUCGGCGGUUGGGGAUUGACUCGCGGCUUAUCAGCUUGUUGGUGGGGUAGUGGCUUACCAAGGCUUUGACGGGUAGCCGGCCUGAGAGGGUGACCGGCCACAUUGGGACUGAGAUACGGCCCAGACUCCUACGGGAGGCAGCAGUGGGGAAUAUUGCACAAUGGGCGGAAGCCUGAUGCAGCAACGCCGCGUGCGGGAUGACGGCCUUCGGGUUGUAAACCGCUUUCGCCUGUGACGAAGCGUGAGUGACGGUAAUGGGUAAAGAAGCACCGGCUAACUACGUG
rnacentral:rRNA from 1 species